UACGGAGGGUGCAAGCGUUAAUCGGAAUUACUGGGCGUAAAGCGUGCGCAGGCGGUUUGUUAAGUCUGUUGUGAAAUCCCCGAGCUCAACCUGGGAAUGGCAAUGGAUACUGGCAAGCUAGAGUGUGUCAGAGGAUGGUGGAAUUCCCGGUGUAGCGGUGAAAUGCGUAGAGAUCGGGAGGAACAUCCGUGGCGAAGGCGGCCAUCUGGACCAGCACUGACACUGAGGCACGAAAGCGUGAGGAGCAAACAGG
rnacentral:rRNA from 1 species